rnacentral:rRNA from 1 species
AUACGGAAGGUCCGGGCGUUAUCCGGAUUUAUUGGGUUUAAAGGGAGCGCAGGCGGAGAUGCAAGCGUGACGUCAAAUUUCGGGGCUCAACCCCGUCUCGCGUCGCGAACUGCGUCCCUUGGUUGCGGGAAGGGGAGGCGGAACUCGUGGUGUAGCGGUGAAAUGCAUAGAUAUCACGAAGAACUCCGAUCGCGAAGGCAGCCUUCCGGCCCGUCAACGACGCUCAUGCUCGAAGGUGCGGGUAUCAAACAGGAUUAGAUGCCCUGGUAGUCCGCACAGUAAACGAUGGACACCCGCGGUUUGGCCUAUAUGGCUGAGCCGCCAAGCGAAAGCGUUAAGUGUCCCACCUGGGGAGUACGCCGGCAACGGUGAAACUCAAAUGAAUUGGCGGGG